UAGGGAAUAUUGGGCAAUGGAGGAAACUCUGACCCAGCCAUGCCGCGUGCAGGAUGAAGGCCCUCUGGGUUGUAAACUGCUUUUUACAGGGAACAAAUGCCCCUUGCGAGGGGAGCUGAGGGUACCUGUAGAAUAAGCCACGGCUAACUACGUGCCAGCAGCCGCGGUAAUACGUAGGUGGCAAGCGUUGUCCGGAUUUACUGGGUUUAAAGGGUGCGCAGGUGGCUAGUUAAGUCUGUGUUGAAAGAGCUAGGCUCAACCUAGUAAACGGCAUAGAUACUGACUGGCUUGAGGAUAGUCGAGGUAGGCGGAAUGUAGGGUGUAGCGGUGAAAUGCAUAGAUACCCUACAGAACUCCUAUUGCGAAGGCAGCUUACUAGACUACGCCUGACGCUCAUGCACGAAAGCGUGGGGAGCAAACA
rnacentral:rRNA from 1 species